ensembl:lncRNA
GUAUUAGUAACAACCAGAGGAUUGCAAUGAAACCAACCAUGACUGGAUAAACGUUUGUUUAGUGUGUGUAAUUACCACGAACGCUUCUUCCAAAGUUGAAUGAGAAGGAAAUCAUGACGCAAGCGGUUUACAAAUGUUUCGUGUUAGGCUAUAAAAAUGGAUUUUAUCAAACAAAACGAACAUUCACUGUGUAGUUAGGACACUUGGCAUUACCACCAGAGGAAGAUCUUCAAAGGAGCUGAGCCCUAGGACCAUGCCUCAGGACUACCUGGCCUGAUGACUCCUUGCUGUCCCCAGUCCACCUGGUCGUGCUGCUGCACCAGUUUCAACUGUUCUGCCUGCGGCUGUGGAACCCUGACCUGUUCACCGGACAUGCUACCUGUCCCAGACCUGCUGUUUCAACUCUCUAGAGAAAGCAGGAUCGGUAGAGAUACUCUGAAUGAUCGGCUAUGAAAAGCCAACUGACAUUUACUCCUGAGGUGCUGACCUAUUGCACCCUCAACAACCAAUGUGAUUGUUAUUAUUUGGCCCUGCUGGUCAUCUAUGAACAUUUGAACAUCUUGGCCAUGUUCUGUUAUAAUCUCCACCCGGCACAGCCAGAAGAGGACUGGCCACCCCUCAUAGCCUGGUUCCUCUCUAGGUUUCUUCCUCGGUUCUGGCCUUUCUAGGGAGUUUUUUCUAGCCACCGUGCUUCUACACCUGCAUUGCUUGCUGUUUGGGGUUUUAGGCUGGGCUUCUCU